GACGAACGCUGGCGGCGUGCUUAACACAUGCAAGUCGAGCGGUAAGGCCCUUUCGGGGGUACACGAGCGGCGAACGGGUGAGUAACACGUGGGUGACCUGCCCUCAGCUCUGGGAUAAGCCUGGGAAACCGGGUCUAAUACUGGAUAUGACUCCAUGACGCAUGUUGUGGGGUGGAAAGCCUUGUGCGGCUGAGGAUGGGCCCGCGGCCUAUCAGCUUGUUGGUGGGGNGAUGGCCUACCAAGGCGACGACGGGUAGCCGGCCUGAGAGGGCGACCGGCCACACUGGGACUGAGACACGGCCCAGACUCCUACGGGAGGCAGCAGUGGGGAAUCUUGCGCAAUGGGCGAAAGCCUG
rnacentral:rRNA from 1 species